GCCUACGGCCAGGCCACCCUGAACACGCCUGAUCUCGUCUGAUCUUGGAAGCUAAGCAGGGUCGGGCCUGCUUAGUACUUGGAUGGGAGACCGAUGUGUUUCUGUUCAGUUGUGAGCU
rnacentral:rRNA from 1 species